rnacentral:lncRNA from 1 species
CUGCUUCCAAGUGAGGUACUGUGAUCAAUUAUAUGAAUGUGCCAAUAUUGCCAGCCUUUUUUUUUUGCAGCAGCAGAUUUGCAGCUUUUUUGGUAUGUUUGGUGGCAAUUAUCAGGGUCACUAACUCCUAUGGUGCUAGGAUGGGGCCAAAGUACUAAAGGAUAUAUUGCUAAGCUGCUAGUUUGCGGAAGUUUUUGAAAUAUCGAGUAAGUAGGUGGCUGCUGAUUUCCCUGUGGUCAUCCAUAUCUGGCUCUAUGCUGCAUCUCCUUAGCUAUAUUCUAGUUGGCUAGAGGUUUUCCUGUAUCCUUUUUAGAUGCAUCAUAAAAAGAGUUCCAUGUUAUUGCUUUCUAUGCUAUCAUGGAGGAAACUUGCUGGGUUGUUUGUAGUUCUUAUUUGUAACUGUUUGCUGAAACCCUGAAACUGAUUAUUUAUUUUCCAACUUUCUAUACUCUGAAUUUUUCAUGCAUGUGCCUCCAAUGUUGCCAUGAAUAACUUUCGAAGGAACCGUUCUAGGAAGUAGAAAGGGGGGCUGUUUCUGGGAAGCAUCUCUCUCAUAAGUUUGUUCUUCAACUUGGGCACUUGAGCACAAACUGUGUGUGUCUGGACUUAAUAAUGCUGAGUUAUGUGAUAUAUACUGCAAGAUGAGCACCUAAGACUGCAAUGGUUGCCAUAUUAAAAAUCACCACCAUCUCAACUGUUCUUCUGGAUUCUGUUCGAUGUGAUAUGCUAAUUCUUGGUGAUUGUGCCUGCUAUUGAUGUAGUGUAAACCAAUUACCCAAGUGGCUGAGAACCAGAUGAGGAUAUGGUGAUAUGCUGGCUGUCAUCGCUGACGGAGACAGGUGGUGCUUCUGUCUCUGUGGACUUUAAAUUUUGGCCUUUUCCUUUUAAAUGUUCGUCCAUCAUUAUCCAGAAUAAAUUCCUGCAUUACAGCAUUUGGAGUCAGAAUAAGGUUCUGAAGACACCUGAUUGCUUUCAAUUCCAUACCACAGUGAAUUAAAUGUUCUGAAUAUGGUUGCAAGCGAAGACCCUUGUGCUGUUGCUAUUUACUGUAUUAGAGUAGAUCUUCAUUCCAUGUGCAAUAACUUCCGCUAUUAUGCAAACUAGUAGAACCACAAUAUAUUUCUGGAUAAGUACUUGUACGAAAAUUGUACUUUCCACAGUAGUGCAAUCUUUUAUUUGUUUUCUCUUCCUCUGUUGAUUGAUUAGGCUGAGAUAGGUUUCUGAAAUGUUUUAGAGAGAUUGAAGAGUUACAUAGUAAAUACACAGCAACCUGAAGUGAUGGUGCUCACCCAACAAUUUAUCAAUUACAGUUUC